GCAUUAAGUCACCACUAAUCAUCAGGUACAUGUACCUGAUUUUGCGUAAAGGGGUUAAGUGUGACUACAGUCUAUAAUAUCAUGCUAGAGAUUUCUAAAAAUGCUGUGGACCUUUCUAAAAAAAAGUGGUUUAUUUUAGCCCUGUGUCUGCCGACUUUUAUGCUCGAUGUAAUACCUGGUGACUGGUGAGCAGUGACAGCUUACUCUACUGUGAUGGGUUGUUACUGUCAUUAGGCACCCGUGGACCUUUGUCUAGAGCAGCAAUGUUGAGGAUGGCACCAUUUAAAUUGACUUCCCCAGUGGAUCCGAAGCCCAUGCACAAAUGGUAAGAAAUAAGCGGAUUCCCUGGACAUAUCAAAUAAACACAAUGAAGAAGGGAAGAACAGCUGACAGUGUGAAUACAUUGGCAUAAAUACGAAUGACAGCUCUCGCCAGCAUAGGGAGUAAAUAGCAUUGUCUUGCUUCCAGACAACCCAAACAUCUUGGAGCCUCAUCAGUUUUGUUGAGAAUUCUUUAAAUAACCCGGUGAUGCAGC